rnacentral:rRNA from 1 species
CAGCAGCCGCGGUAAUACGUAGGUGGCGAGCGUUGUCCGGAAUUAUUGGGCGUAAAGGGAGCGCAGGCGGACAUAUAAGUCCAUCUUAAAAGUGCGGGGCUCAACCCCGUGAGGGGAUGGAAACUGUAUGCCUUGAGUGCAGGAGAGGAAAGCGGAAUUCCCAGUGUAGCGGUGAAAUGCGUAGAUAUUGGGAGGAACACCAGUGGCGAAGGCGGCUUUCUGGACUGCAACUGACGCUGAGGCUCGAAAGCCGGGGGAGCGAACGGGAUUAGAUACCCCAGUAGUCCCUGUCUCUUAUACA